rnacentral:rRNA from 1 species
GAUGAACGCUGGCGGCGUGCCUAAUACAUGCAAGUCGAGCGAACGGACGAGAAGCUUGCUUCUCUGAUGUUAGCGGCGGACGGGUGAGUAACACGUGGAUAACCUACCUAUAAGACUGGGAUAACUUCGGGAAACCGGAGCUAAUACCGGAUGAUAUUUUGAACCGCAUGGUUCAAAAGUGAAAGACGGUCUUGCUGUCACUUAUAGAUGGAUCCGCGCUGCAUUAGCUAGUUGGUAAGGUAACGGCUUACCAAGGCAACGAUGCAUAGCCGACCUGAGAGGGUGAUCGGCCACACGGGAACUGAGACACGGUCCAGACUCCUACGGGAGGCAGCAGUAGGGAAUCUUCCGCAAUGGGCGAAAGCCUGACGGAGCAACGCCGCGUGAGUGAUGAAGGUCUUCGGAUCGUAAAACUCUGUUAUUAGGGAAGAACAUAUGUGUAAGUAACUGUGCACAUCGUGACGGUACCUAAUCAGAAAGCCACGGCUAACUACGUG